AUUGAACGCUGGCGGCAUGCCUUACACAUGCAAGUCGAACGGCAGCACGGGAGCUUGCUCCUGGUGGCGAGUGGCGAACGGGUGAGUAAUACAUCGGAACGUACCCAGUAGUGGGGGAUAACGCACCGAAAGGUGCGCUAAUACCGCAUACGACCUACGGGUGAAAGCGGGGGACCGUAAGGCCUCGCGCUAUUGGAGCGGCCGAUGUCUGAUUAGCUAGUUGGCGGGGUAAAAGCCCACCCAGGCGACGAUCAGUAGCCGGUCUGAGAGGACGAUCAGCCACACUGGGACUGAGACACGGCCCAGAGUCCUACGGGAGGCAGCAGUGGGGAAUUUUGGACAAUGGGGGCAACCCUGAUCCAGCAAUGCCGCGUGUGCGAAGAAGGCCUUCGGGUUGUAAAGCACUUUUGUCAGGGAAGAAAUCUUUCAGGCUAAUACCCUUGGAAGGAUGACGGUACCAGAAGAAUAAGCACCGGCUAACUACGUGCCAGCCGCCGCCGUAA
rnacentral:rRNA from 1 species